AUUGAACGCUGGCGGCAGGCCUAACACAUGCAAGUCGAACGAGUGGCGGACGGGUGAGUAAUGUCUGGGAAACUGCCCGAUGGAGGGGGCUAACUACUGGAAAAGGUAGCUAAUACCGCAUACCAUCGGAUGAGCCCAGAUGGGAUUAGCUAGUAGGGGGGGGAAUGGCUCACCUAGGCGACGCUCCCUAGCUGGUCUGAGAGGAUGACCAGCCACACUGGAACGGAGACACGGUCCCGACUCCUACGGUAGGCAGCAGUGGGGAAUAUUGCACAAUGGGCGCAAGCCUGAUGCAGCCAUGCCGCGGGUAUGAAGAAGGCCUUAGGGUUGUAAAGUACUUUCAGCGAGGAGGCGUUACUCGCAGAAGAAGCACCGGCUAACUCCGUGCCAGCAGCCGCGGUAAUUC
rnacentral:rRNA from 1 species